CCUACGGGAGGCAGCAGUGGGGAAUAUUGCACAAUGGGCGGAAGCCUGAUGCAGCAACGCCGCGUGCGGGAUGACGGCCUUCGGGUUGUAAACUGCUUUUGUACGGAACGAAACGGCCUUUUCUAAUAAAGAGGGCUAAUGACGGUACCGUAAGAAUAAGCACCGGCUAACUACGUGCCAGCAGCCGCGGU
rnacentral:rRNA from 1 species